UACGUAGGCAGCAAGCGUUGUUCGGAGUUACUGGGCGUAAAGGGUGUGUAGGCGGCUUUUUACGUUUGGUGUGAAAUCUCCCGGCUCAACUGGGAGGGUGCGCCGAAUACUGAGGGACUAGAGUACGGGAGAGGAAAGUGGAAUUCCUGGUGUAGCGGUGAAAUGCGUAGAUAUCAGGAGGAACACCGGUGGUGUAGACGGCUUUCUGGACCGUAACUGACGCUGAGACACGAAAGCGUGGGUAGCAAACAGG
rnacentral:rRNA from 1 species